AGUCUACAAAACCCCACAUCCCCUGAGAAUUCUCUCGCCUGCCUUAGGCACUUAGGCUCCGGGAGAUUGCAAAUAACCUGCUUUCUUUCUGUUCCCGGGCUGCGUUCGGACUCCUGUCAGAUAGUAAAUCCUAAGUAAGGUACCUGCCAUCGGCAGAUUUGAGCUUUCUUCUUGGACACCUAAUACCCACAGUCCUCCAAGUGGCGUCGGACCCCUGUCAGAGAGUAAAUCUCAAGUAAGGUACCUGCCAUCGGCAGAUUUGAGCUUUCUUCUUGGACACCUAAUACCCACAGUCCUCCAGGCUCCGGUAGACUGCAAAUGACCUGCUUUCUUUCUGUUCCCGGGCUGCGUUUGGACCCCUGUCGGAUAGUAAAUCCCAAGUAAGGUACCUGCCCUCGGCAGAUUUGAGCUUUCUUCUUGGACACCUAAUACCCACAGUCCCCCAGGCUCCGGUAGACUGCAAAUGACCUGCUUUCUUUCUGUUCCCGGGCUGCGUUUGGACCCCUGUCGGACAGUAAAUCCCAAGUAAGGUACCUGCCCUCGGCAGAUUUGAGCUUUCUUCUUGGACACCUAAUACCCACAGUCCUCCAGGAAUGGAACAGAUAAGAAGAUACUGAAAUUGGACGGUGCUGCCGUGCGGCUGCCGCAGGACACCUUUAAUAUCCCUGUUUCUCAGGCUGUAGAUGAAGGGGUUCAGCAUGGAGGUGAUCACCGUGUACAUCACUGAGGCCACUGCAGCCUUUCUCGGGGAAGAUGACACAUCUGAACUGAGGUACCCUCCAAAGCCUGUUCCGUAAAAUCAGCAAACAACUGACAGGAUAACUUCAGGAAGUGGGUAUUAAUUCUCACGGUAUAAGUGAAGACAUUAAGCACCAGAGUUUAAGUAGCUUGAUCCACUGAAAGAGAUUCAACUGUGUGGAACCUAUGCCGUGGAGAAUUGCUUUCUGCCAUUGUUAUCGUCCAGCAGUUGCCGAAUAGCUCUGACCUGAGCAAAGCAGUGAAACGCGGUGCUGUUGAGUGGGUUGCCACUGCACCUUUUUCAACUACUCUAGUCUUGUGGAGAAAAUACCCCUUCUAAAUUUUUUCUUCAUUGAAUACUCUCCCUCAGCUCCAGAGUACCAUAUAGAGUUUUCUUGUAUUUUAGAGUUACUGUUUUAUCAAAGUUUACCAGUCUUUUGUAUUACAUUUCUCCUGUCUAAAUCGACUGUGUGGUUUCUACUCAUUAUGGAUAUAGAUUGAUACAAACUCAAUAAAUAUUUUUGAAUGAAUAA
ensembl:lncRNA LINC01198 long intergenic non-protein coding RNA 1198